rnacentral:tRNA from 1 species
GCCUGCUUAGCUCAGUUGGUUAGAGCAACGGACUGUUAAUCCGUGUGUCACUGGUUCGAAUCCAGUAGCGGGCGCCA